rnacentral:rRNA from 1 species
GAUGAACGCUGGCGGCGUGCCUAAUACAUGCAAGUCGAGCGAACAGACGAGGAGCUUGCUCCUCUGACGUUAGAGGCGGGCGGGUGAGUAACACGUGGAUAACCUACCUAUAAGAGAGGGAUAACAUCGGGAGACAGGAGCUAAUACCGGAGAAUAUAGUGAACCGCAUGGUUGAAUAGUGAAAGACGGUGUUGCUGUCACUUAUAGAUGGAUCCGCGCCGCAUUAGCGAGUUGGUAAGGUAAAGGCUUACCAAGGCAACGAUGCGUAGCCGACCUGAGAGGGUGAUCGGCCACACUGGAACUGAGACACGGCCCAGACUCCUACGGGAGGCAGCAGUAGGGAAUCUUCCGCAAUGGGCGAAAGCCUGACGGAGCAACGCCGCGUGAGUGAUGAAGGUCUUCGGAUCGUAAAGCUCUGUUAUUAGGGAAGAACAAAUGUGUAGGUACCUAUGCUGUUCGUGACGGUACCUAACCAGAAAGCCACGGCUAACUACGUG